AACGCAUAUUGCACUCCUUUGGGAGUAUGCCUGUUUGAGAAUCUAUAGUAUUUCUUUUUCUAGUUUACUAGAAAAGAUUUGGCGCGUCUCUGGUUUUAGAGUGCGCUUAAAGCUAUAGCUAGUCGCCAAAAGAGCGCCAAAGCAAAACUGUUUGAAGCUCAUUAGAGUAACCUACUAUUUUGUUUUGGGGAAACGUUCCUAGGUAUCUAGCCCAAUGGAUUCUUUUUAAGAACCAAGGAGGUUACCCAAAGUAACCCGAACCAUGGUCUCAAAUCAGGUAGGAGGACCCGCUGAACUUAA
rnacentral:misc_RNA from 1 species